UAUCUAUAUUAAAACAAAACAUUUUAGUGCCACUUGGCAUUAUCUUAAACCUAUUAGUGCCACCUGUCAUCUAAAUAUUCCUCACAAUUCUCAUUUGAGCGGCAACACGUCCAUUCACUUCCUCUGCUUCUCUACCGCCUCUGUAUUUAGGUUGUAACGCUCAUAAAGACUUUUCAAGUUUCCAUAAUUUUUUGAAAUCACCAAAUCCCUUUCUCUCUCUAAAUUUUUUGUGAUGGUGGUUUAUGGUCUCUGGUCCUCGGUGUUAGCAACGACGGCUAGGGUUUUUAAGCGAGAUAUGAACGACGUUUGUUCCAGUUAGGGUUCCGACGAUCGACAACUUGUGGGUUGCUGAGAUGACAGAGAUGGUGGUUGGAGCUAUAUCAGCUAGGGUUUCCGGCAAAGAAGGAAACGCAGCGGUUACUCAGCGAACCAGCUCAGGGGAUAAGCGUGUCGCCUUCCGAAGAUAAUAUGCAUUAUUUUAAUGUUAUGAUCCUUGGUCCAACGCAGUCUCCUUAUGAAGCCGCUUAUUUUAACAAGAAUUCUUGAAAGACAACAAUCUACUGGAUCUUUCGACAAUCAUAACUCCAAAAUCAGAGCACAGGCAAG